CAGGGAGACAACAAAAUGUUAAAUAUUAAUUUUGUCACCUUAGGUCGAUCGGUAUCUCACAUUCUUAAUCUAAUUAAGGAUUUUAUUUCCUAAGUUUUUCUAGGUCACACCCAUCACUUUUCCUGGGCCAUUAGCUCAGGUGGUUAGAGCGCACCCCUGAUAAGGGUGAGGUCCCUGGUUCAAGUCCAGGAUGGCCCAUAUCUCUAUGUUGGGGGUAUAGCUCAGUUGGUAGAGCGCCUGCUUUGCAAGCAGGAUGUCAGCGGUUCGAGUCCGCUUACCUCCACUGAUUACCACCUCUUCCAUAUAUAAAAGGAAAAUUUGAGUUGUGAUCUUAUUCUGAACGAAUCUAGCUUCCUAAUUAAAAUUAUUAAGAUGCUGGACUCAUUGAAUUUAUUUCAUUGUUUUCAGAGAACCUUGACAACUGCAUAGAUUAUUUUUAAAGACAAUAAGCAUCUUUAAUGAUGCAGAUUUAUUAUUUGUGCAAAUGCAUUAAUAACAAUUCUAUUAAGCUGAUGCUUCAA
rnacentral:tRNA from 1 species